rnacentral:tRNA from 1 species
GCCCGAGUGGCGGAAUUGGUAGACGCGCACGACUCAAACUCGUGUUCCAAAAGAGUGCCGGUUCGAGCCCGGCCUCGGGUACAA